rnacentral:misc_RNA from 1 species
GUGGAGGGAGCCGUCGAAGGUGGGAUCGGCGAUUGGGACGAAGUCGUAACAAGGUAGCCGUACCGGAAGGUGCGGCUGGAUCACCUCCUUUCUAAGGAGCACCACGAAAAGGGUUGAGACACUGGGUCUUACCCGAGCCGUGAGGAACCGGUUGCCUGUAGUGGGCACGGUUUGGUGCACAACAAACGUUGAGCCGCAAGGGAAUUUUGCGGUGAUGGACUGCCAGACACACUAUUGGGCUUUGAGACAACAGGCCCGUGCCCCUUUCGGGGGGUGGCAUCCCGUUGGGGGUGUCGGCGUGUUGUUGCCUCACUUUGGUGGUGGGGUGUGGUGUUUGAUUUGUGGAUAGUGGUUGCGAGCAUCUAGCACGCAAGGGAACGGAUCGCCGACUCCUCUUUUGGGGGGUUGGCUGCUGUGUUCUUGUGUGUUGAUGUGCAAUUUCUUUUGAAACUCAUUUUUGGUUUUUGUGUUGUAAGUGUUUAAGGGCGCAUGGUGGAUGCCUUGGCACUGGGAGCCGAUG